GCGUUUGUGUGAGUGUGCAUGAGGGUAUGAGUGUGUGUGUAUGUAUGAGCUCUGUGACCUACCGUGAAUAAAGUCCCGGGAGGGGUGUGUGCGUGCAUGCGUAUGUGUGCGUGCUUGUGUGUAUGUAUGUAUGUACUAGCGCGCUGUGAUCCACCGUGAAUAAAGUCCGGGUGUAUGUAAGCGAGCAUGGGAGUGUGUGUGUGGAGGGUUCUGCGUGCAUACGUUUGUGUGUACUAGCGCGUUGUGAUCCACUGUGACUAAAGUCCGGAUCUGUGUGUGUGUGUGUGUGUGUGUGUACGUGUGUGUGCUUAUGGGUGAGUGCGUGUUAAGUUGAAAUUGCAAGUUUGCCGAGUGCUACCUUGGAACAUCAGAAGAAGAAAUGGACGAUAGCUGAAUAAAGAACGUUCCUCCUCCUAGAUUAAGGAUCAGUCCUUUAGAAAAGGCAUUUUCUACAACUUCCAAGAAGAUCAAAAAACAACCUACCCAAGAUAACUAUAGACAAUAGGACCCCUUUGGGUCUCCUCCAGCACACUGAUAAACUUAAGAAUGAAAUAAUGAAAAGAAGAUUGAAAGAAUCGCUAUUUUUACCCGUAAUGGAAAUCCAAGUCUAUCAUGAUGGUCAGGAAAACAAGCCAAGUCACAGCUACCUUAACAGAUGGUUAUGAUUCACAGCAUCUUUGGAUUUCAUGCCACUGACCUCAUCAAUUUGGCCACUUAGAGAUGGACGGAUGGUGGGAUCCACCAGACACAGAGAUGCUCAGAUACUCAGAUGGAAAUUCAAAUUGGUUUGAAGAUUCAGAAUUAUUUUGAUAUUGCAUCGUUUUCACAGCAACAUGCUGAAAAGCCUGCUAUAGAAAUGCUUUGACCUUUGAAGUAUUGCAUGAUAUCAAUUCAGAUUAUCUUAUAUGUCCCUUUUUUUUGGGGGGGGUAAGUUCCAGAUGGGAAUAUUGGGUUCAAUUGACCUCCAUUCUGGAGCUUAUUUCAGCAAGAAAAUAAUCAUUAAAGUCCUCAUAUAUUUCCCAAGGUGGACAGCUGAGCUCGGCUAAUCUUGAAUAGUUUAUCAAUGACUUUCAUAUUUGUUCUUUUCUUUCUUGAUUUUUUCUUCUGCCUCCUUAGGAGAUCAAAAUAGACAUUAACCUUUGGGGUAUUUUUUUUUUCAGUAAGAGUUUACUUUUAGGACUCCCUUCCUCCUUUUUUGAGGCAGAGAAGAUGGGACCAAUUUUGGUAAAAUAUUUUAAAAAUGUCCUUUAGCCUGUUUAUGAACAAUCCUCACAAAAAUGGGCCCUUCAUGUGAGAACGAACAAAGCAAAUGUACAUCAGCUUCCACCCCUCCUAACAUUUUCUCACAUGUAAUCUUGUUUCUCUUCUUUCAGACACAAGCUGUUUUACAGGAUGGCAAGCAUCCAGAUGAAACUGCAAAAUUCAGUUGAUUCUCCAAAUCUUGUGUUUCUGAAUAUAUUCUCAUUCAAAUCUAAAAGAAAAUCUUUAGGAAAUGUCCAGAUUUUUAUUUGCCCACUUUCUGGGUUGGGUAGAUGGGAAGAAUGAUCUAGACCCUUUCCCUUUUCCAGAGGGACCACUUAGAACCACUCUCAGAACUGAAGAAAAAUGAAACUAUAUUGUUUUUAUGGAACUCUUUUAAAAGAUAAACCAGGAUGCACUGAAUAUGUAUUGAAAAUGUAUCAGAGAAAGAAAAAGGCAGCAACAGUAACACACACACACAUAUGCACACACACAACCCAACAACCCAGUAUUUUCUUUUUUCAGUUUCUUUGGAUCAUGGCUUUCUUGAAAGUGGUCUGCACUCCCUUAGGGAGAUCAUCCAACCCAUAGCUUGAGUCACAGGGCUUUUUGUAGCUUUGAGCUGUGGGAAUGAAUCAAAACCAGUGCCAGGAUGUUUAUAUGGCCAGAGCCUUUGUUUGGUUAGUGAAAUGAAAUCAGUAAAAUAAAGCAGGGAUAAUUAUCCAAAAAAUCACUGCAUUGAACAUCAGCCUGAAGAACCUGGUUGAUGUUGUUGUCAGGAGUUGGGGGGAGGCAAGAAGAGAAGGAGAGACUGCUGCAGAGAAUGUUAGCUGAACAAUGUGGGGAGAGGCAAUAGCUCUAGUAGACGGUGUUGAAAAAGACCUUAGUAUUUUAUAUAGUCACACACAGGUACCUUUAUGCAGAAAUAGCAGAAAAAAAUGGAUGAUGGAACACUGGACUUUAAGUUAGGAAGAUCAAUUCAAAUCCUCCCUCUGAAAUUUAGUAGUUAUUUUAUCCUGGGCAAGUUACUUAAAAUUUGUGUUCAUGGAAAGAAUUCCCACAAUAGCAGUUCCUUCAUUGAUCAAAUCAAAGUUCCUUCAUGUAUUUUGUAAAAUAUGAAAAUACACGAUGACACUAUUAGGGCAAAGAUAAAAAUGAGAGGAAAAAAUUGUAGAAUGAAAACAAUCCAGCCUAGAGUUAAAUAAGUUAUUACAAUUUUUUUAAAUGGACAACAGAGAAAAGAAAGGUCAUUGGUAUAGAUUAAAAUUUCACACAGAAAUUAAACUGAUGUAAAUUGAUUCCCAUAACAAGGAGAACCAAAGGCUAAAAAAUUCCUCAAUCUGAAAAAUCAGCAAAUACUUGACUUACUUGCCAGGUAGACAGAAAUAGCAGCCAAAGGCAACACCAGUUUUGAAUAUAAACUCAUAUAUGGAGUCUUAAAGAGGAAGAUUCUGAGUAGUAUCAUCUCACAAAGCAGAGUGAAACAAAGGAGGGUAAAGCUAGUUAAUAGUUUAGCAGGAACUUGAACUAAGACAUUUAUGCAUGAAAAUUCAAAGAUAAUAAAGAGAAAAUAAAAUGUAAAAGAUCUGCAAAGAUUUUCAUAACAAACUAUGGUCACUGUCAAAGAUAAUAAAGCAUUAUGCUUUAUCUCUGACCUUACCCCCAAAGGCUAGAAUUAUGUUUAAAGGCUGCAUUGUAUUUAUAGAGACAGCAGAAAUGACACCAAUGAGAAAGGCAAGAAGAGUAGCUGGAUUAGAUUUUGUAUAUAGAGAAGAAUAGUGAGGGUACUAAUGGAAAAAUUCACAAAGUAUUUGAAGGAGGGAGAAUGCUAAUAAUAUCACAAGAAAUGGAUAUUAUUAAUGGUGAAACAAGAGUACCUAAAGAACAUCAACAACUUCUAACCUGUACGUUUCAUUUUUCUCAACAUAAAAUUUUUACAAGUCAUCAACACAUGGAUGAAAGAUUUCUUUGAUGAUAGUAUUAUCAGGGACCAAUAUCAGGGACCACAACAAACCAUAUCUUUAUCAUCACACAAUUAAUUUAAGAGGAUUUGUUGCAGAUAAAAUCUUUCAGUUAACAAAUAUUUUUAAGGUGCCUACCAUGUUCCAGACACUAUUCUAAGUGCUAGGGAUACAAAGACAAAAAAAAAAUUCCUUAUCUCAAAGAAUUUGUACUCUAUCUAUAGUUUAACUAUGGGGUUCCACUGUAAUUAUUAUUUGUUGGUUAUGAAAAAAAAAUGACCAUGAAAGUUGUAUUCCAAAAAAGGGUUUCCCAUCCACACUUCAAAAUUAUUCAUUAUUUCUUGAAAUAUAUAACAGCAGAGAUAAUCAUGUUAAACAACCUUCUGAUAAUAAAUAUCAGGUAAGACAUAAAAUAAGGAGGUAGUUGUUUGCCGUUGUGUUGGAUGAGAUCCAUCACAGAGGAGAAAUUGAGAAGGGAGUUCUUGUUUAUGAUGAGAUUCUUUAGAUGCAUAUAUUUGUGGAAGAUCUGUUGUUUACUUCAGAUUUACAAGAAGUCCUGAAAGAAACCUGAAAAAUUUAAAAGUAUUUGGUCUGACCAUCUGCACAGGGCAAAUUAAAUGGAUAGAAACCCUUUAUUGUGCAGAUUGUGACAUAACCUGGGAAUGGAAGAACUAAAGUAAAAGUUGUUAUUAGAGAAAUAGAUGAUUAGAAAAGAACUUGUACCAGUUAUGGAGUGAGAAUAAAGGACAGCAAACGGACAGCCAAAGACCUCUGUUGUUGUACUUACCAUGUCAGGAGAAAGCAAAGACAUUCCCCUGGCAAGUUGGGAAAACUUAUGGAAGGUCAUGAAGGAGAGCAGCAUAUAUUGGAGUCAUGAAUGAAUUUUGAUGGACAUUAUUAGAAGAAACAUCCAAAAUGAUGGGAUAUAAAUCCCCUUUAGUGUUUGAGUGCAUACAUUCAGUCAAUUGGGAAUAUCCUUAUCCCUUCCACUUCUCUUUUUUCCCCCUGCCAACUCCACCAUACAUACAACUUCCCCACUUUCAGGCAGGAAGCCCUUGGUCUGGAGUCAAGAAAAUAUGAAUUAAACUGGCCUUAGACACUUGCUAGUUGCCUGACCCAUGUCAAGUCACUUAACUUCUGCUUGCGUUAGUUUCCUCAUCUGUAAAAUGGGAAUAGAAAUAACACUUAUUCCUAGGGUUGUGAGGUUCAAAUGAAAUAGUUUAAAAUGCUUAGAACAAGGUCAGGUGCAUCGUAGAAAUUUUUUAAAAUGCUUAUUCCCUUCCCUGUCAAAGCAAGCCAAGAGAUACCCUUAUUCAUAAAAUCAUAAAACCUUAGAGUUUUAGAACUGGAAGGAAACCUAGGUACCACCUAGUUCAUUAUCCUCACCUGUAAAAACAACAAGACAAGAAUGGUCCUUUUAUGAUUAAUUUCCCCUUCAAUACUGCCAAUGCAAUUUAUUUUUAGCUUAUUUUACUUGUCCAGACUUUUUCAGGGGAAGGGGAGGGCCAUUGAAUGUAGUUUUCUCCAGGUAUAUCUUGUGACAGUAUUAAUUUCAGUGUAAGUUACUGAAUUCUACACAUCAGACAGAAUUAAUCUAUUUGCUAUUCCCUAAAGUGGCUGACCACCAUGCCUUGAAUAUUUCCAUCUUCACCUCUGCAGGUAGAUAGAUAGAUAGAUAGAUAGAUAGAUGGAUAGAUGGAUGGAUGAAUGGGUGGAUGGAUGGAUGGGUGGGUAGAUGGAUGAAUGAAUGGAUGGAUGGAUGGGAAGAUGGUUCCGGGAGCCAUCAAAGACCAUGCUGUUUGACAUGGUCACACAUGGAAACUGGGGACUAGAUGGAAGCAUCCACUGGAACCCCUCUAAGUGACUUUCCUUAUUAACAUCCCCUUAUUAUUGGAAUUUCUAUGAUUAUUAUUCUUACUUAGCCCCAGGAAAAAUAGAUGAGAACAACAUGCUUGCAGGGUUAAUACAGAUGUCCCACUCUGUCCUCCCAAAAUAUUACCAGGAGAUUCCAUUUACAAAAUCAAACCUAAGGAAUCUUAUAUACCCAUUUAGAUAGGACCCUCUUUUCUAGGCAUAAAAACUUCUGGCAAAUCUGUGCCCUGAAUUCCCCAACCUAUAUCUGGGUCAUGUUGAUUCUACCUUCUGACCAUGCAUUUAGCAAUAAUGCUUUGUUGACUAUCACCUUAGGCUUCACAUCUGUUGUUAUGUUCUAUGGAAUGUGUAUGUUGAGAAUGAGAUUGUGUGCCAGAAAAGUAUGUACUCAUUGAAACUAUAAAAUAAAUGCAAACCCUAUGCAAUGGCAGAAGAACUGUGUGAUACCUAAGCACAGGUCUGAGCACUCAGCUGUCUCUCACCUCUUCAUUAUUCACCUGACUGCUCCAUCUAGUCAGAAGGACCCUCCUCUGAGAGACUGUGGGCUUGGCUCUCAAAAGAUGGAUGGAUGGAUGUAUAGAUAGAUAGAUGAAUAGAUGGAUGGAUGGGUGAAUGGAUAGACAGAAAGCCAGACAGCUAGAUAGAGAGAGAAAGAAAAAGAAAGGAAGGAAAGAAGGAAGGAAGGAAGGAAGGAAGGAAGGAAGGAAGGAAGGAAGGAAGGAAGGAAGGAAGGAAGGAAGAAAAGAAAGAAGGAUGGUUAAGUAGAUGGAUAUGUAAUACACAUAGAUAUAUCAAACUCAAAUAGAAAUGAGACAAUUAACCCAUAUAUAAGCAUCCCUGGGUCCAUAUCAUGAUAGAAGUCACAUAUCACAAUACAAUAGAAAUCUCACAAAGGAAACAUAGUGGAAGAGAAUAUGCUUUGCUCUGCACUCAUAUUCCAAUAGUUCCUUCUUUGGCUAUGGAUAGCAUUUUCUUCAUGAGUCCCUUAUGAUUAUCUUGGUGACUUGUUUUUUUUUUAAACCCUUACCUUCUGUCUUGGAGUCAAUACUGUGUAUUGGCUCCAAGGCAGAAGAGUGGUAAGGGCUAGGCAAUGGGGGUCAAGUGACUUGCCCAGGGUCACACAGCUAGGAAGUGGCUGAGGCCGGAUUUGAACCUAGGACCUCCCGUCUCUAGGCCUGGUUCUCAAUCCACUGAGCUACCCAGCUGCCCCCUUGGUGACUUGUUUUGCUGAUUAUGGCUUAAUCCUUCACAGUUGAUCAUUGUAUAAUAUUUCUUUUACUGUAUACAUUGUUCUUCUGGUUCUGCUCACUUCACUUUACAUCAGUUAAUAAUUUUCUGAACUAAUCCUGUUCAUUAUUUCUUGUGGCACAAUAGUAUUCCAUUGCAACCAUAUAGCACUUUUUCAUCUAUUCUCCUAGUUAUAGACAACCCCUCAAUUUCCAGUUCUUUGUCACUACAAAAAGAGCUGCUAAAAAUAUUUUGGUUUAGGUAUGCCCUUUUCCCUUCUCUCUGAUCUCUUUGGGAUUCAGACCCCUUUUUGACUCUUUGAACCUGGUUUUAUAUUGCUCUCCAGAAUGCUUGUAUUAGUUCACAGUUUCAUAAACAGUGUAUUCAGGUCCCAAUUUUCCCAUAUCUCUCCUAAUAUUUAUCGUUUUCCUUUUUUGGUCAUGUGAAGUAAUCUGGUAGAUGAGAAAUAGUAUCUCAGAGUAGUUUUAAUUUGCAUUUUUUCUAAUCAGUAGUGAUUUGGAGCAUCUUUUCAUAAGACUAUGGAUAGUUUUAAUUUCUUCCUUUAACAAUUGCUUGUUUAUAUCCUUUUGACCAUUUUUCAGUUGUAGAAUGCUUUUUUAUUUUUAUAAACUUGACUCAGUUCUCUGUAUAUUUGAGAGAUGAGUCUUUUGUCAGAAAUACUUACUAUUAGAGGUCCCACCCAGAUUUGUUGUUUCCCUUCAAAUCUUGGUCGCAUUGGUUUUAUUUAUAGAAAACCUUUUUAAUUUAUGUAAUCAAAAUUAUGUUUCCUUUUUUAUAAUGUCUUCUAUGUCUUGCUUAGUCAUAAAUUUUUCCUGUAUGCAUAAGUCCAACAAGUAAAUUUUUUCAUGUUCCCCUAA